UAGCCGAGCAUGGUAGCGCAUGCCUGUAAUCCCAGCUACUCAGGAGGCUGAGGCAGGAGGAUCGCUUGAAGAAUGAUUUGUGAAGUUGAAGGCAGGUCAAUAUCUCAGAGAGAAAAGGCUGACCAGAAAGAUAACCCCAAAACCAGAGUUUCAGAUGAUGUAACCAGAGUUUAUAUGGAAAUGAAAGGACCUGGGAUAGCCAAAACAAUCUUGAAAAAUGAAGCUGGAAAAUUUAUACUACCUGGGUUCACAACUUACUAUAAAGCUACUGUAAUUUCUGUGUGGUAUAUGCAUAAGGAUAGACAAAUAUAUCAGUGGAACAGAAUAGCAAAUUCAGAAAUAUAUCCACAUAUAUGGUCAGUUGAUCUUCAACAAAGACUUCAAAGCAAGUGAAUGGAGAAAGGAAUGCCGUUUUAAUAAAUGGCGAUGGAACAGAAGAUAUGCAUGAAAAAGAUGAACCGUGACCUGUAUAACAUUAACCUGAAUUUCAAGUUAAAACAAUAAUGCUGCAACUGUUGCUAAUCAGAGUGUAUAUUCAGGGCAACUUGAAUCUAUAUUCUUGGUUGCAGUCCUCAAACUUGGCUCAAAUAAACUCUCUACUUAUAUUAGAAAAAAACCCAAAAAACCAAUAAUGCUUCUAGAAGGAGAUUUAGGAGACUAUUUUUGCAAGCUUGGGGUAGGUAUUUUUAGAUAGGAUGCAAAAGGCUAACCAUAAAUAAUAUAUUUAACAAACUGGACUUCAUAAAAAUCAAAAACUUGUUCUGCUUAUCAAAAGAUACCAUUAAAAAAAAGAAUGGGUUAGCCGCAGAAUGGGAGAAAAUACUUGGCAAUACAUAUCUCUGACAAGAACUUUUAUUUAUGCUAAUAUACAACAGGAAAUUCCCUGUGGCUCAGAUAAAUUAAGCUUGAUCCUCUGGCUCACACCAGAUUGAUCUCUGAUCGUGCUUUUUGAAUUAGGACUAACUAAGCCCCCGCCCCCAGGGAGUCUGUAAUGUUCGUACCAAAUCACCUAUUUGUUAAGUGCUUCCCUUGCAUCUAGCCCUGGACACAGCUAAAAGACUUCACCACUGACUUCUGAAAUCAGAAGGGUCUUCCAGGGGUCAUUUAGUAGUAGGUUGUAGACCUACCCCAGGGCAAAGCAUGAACUAAAUGGUCUAAGUCAACCUAAUCAAACAUGACGGAUCAUCAGAUCCCUGGAGAGUUUUUAAGAAUGCAGAUUCCAUGCUCCAUGCCUGGAUCUCUGAAUGCAGUAGGUAUGAUGUAAGGCCUUGGAAUCCGUCUUGGGUUUUUGUUGUUUUGUUUAGGCUAGUCAAGUAAAGCAGUGGGAGUGGUAGGGGAACAAAGAAAUCUGUAACUGGUUGUGAUUAAUUAGUUGUAAACACCACUCUCCUCUCUGAUCAGCCUUUGUUUUGUUUUUAAGCUACUCAGAAGGUCUUGAAAAGUCAGCUUUAAUUUGUCCGUUUGCUUCUUGAUGGACAUAUUCUUUAGAAGAGCAAAAAUAUCUGUCUUUCCACUAAAACUCUCCAAAGGCCAAGCAGGCGAAGCCAAAGCCUUGCCAACUUUAAGCCUCAUCCUUGCUGACUUCUCGUACAUUUCGGAGGCCUGGAGUUCUUCCAGAAGUGAGUAAUACAGCAUCCCCGUGACAGAUCUGGGAAGCCCUAGAGUUCUUGCUCGUCUGUAAUCACGGAUGUCCUUCCAUUACAGUUUCUCAGCUUCUAAGAAGGCAGAGAAGGAUGUAGACAGGGAAGGGAAAUUGAGGAGUAAGAUGCUAAUGCUGGUAAAAUGAGGGAGGAAAAUACUAACUGCAAGUAACCGAGCUUCCUAAUAAUAACAAGAUCAGUCGAGUUUAGCCGAAGUUGAACUCUGUUUCAUGUGCAGCUAGUGCACAUGAGUGUACACGCACUCACAGCCUCUGACCUUCCCUUGGUGGUUGUCUCUCUUCAGGGCUAUGUAGUUAGGGAAAAGUACACGAGUAGAAAUUAAAAUUAGAUUCAAGGUUCUUAAGAAAUGAUCCACCUUGAAAAGAGCCCUUGGUCCAACAACCUGGCAAUUUUAACAGAAUGCCAAGUUCAAGUUCAAGGGUGCUGCUUUCCUCUUUCAGUACUUUUUUUCUGCUUUGCAGCUUUAAGGAAAAAAUCAGAAUAUGGGCAACUCCCAAUCUAGUAUGUGAGGUCCCAACACUCUGACUCUGCACUGCAUUUCUAUACUCCUCUCUCUACCUACAAGUACUUUUUAAUUCAGCCGAACUGAGUGUCACAUCCUUUCCUAAAUAUACCUUUAACUCUGUCAUCUCCAAACCCAGAAACCACUUUUUACCCAACUGAGCAGCCCUUACCUCCAUCUGAGCCUGUCAAACUCUGACGCCCCUUCAAGGCCUACCUCAAAUGCCACAUUGUUUAUGAAGGUUUAGCUGUUUGUUCUAGUCGAACCUGGCCUCUCCCUCCUCUAAACUGCCUUGGCAUCCUGUUUGGAUCGCCGUCCAGGUCCUUGCUAUUUCUGCACUGUGUUAUUGCCUGUAGCUUCUUGAGGCUGGGGCAGGAUGCCUCCUAUAUCUGCAACCCUGUCCCGGUGCUCUUUGAACAAAGAACCUUGGACUUCUGAUGAAAAAGCUCAAGCCUGGAACUCCAACUCUGCAACUUCGUGGUGGUGUUAUCCCUGGGCCAGUUAUAUAUCCAGAGGUGGUAUUCAAAAUAUUCAUUAACUGGUAUGGCACAAGCCGUCAUCAAUCUGAACAGACGCCGGUUGGACAGAUUGAAUUUCAGCCCUCUCUUUGUGCCUUUCUCAUCUGUGAAGUGGAUAUAGUCAUACGCACCUCCCAAGGUAGUUGUGUUGGUCAAACAGGAGGAAAGUACUUUGUAAAGUGAAAAGUUUAUGCAAAUGAAAGGGUCCUUUGGUGGUAUUUCCAGAGGCCACGUGUGGGGUUGCACAGCCCUCAGCAUCACCUCCUGCACUGCUCUGCCUACAGAGCAAACCAGGGAAUUGUUGAGUAAUUGAGCAGGACACCACAAAUUUGAGAAGUCUUGGAAUCAGCCUGUUAGAUCCUAAAGGAAUUCAGAAUAUCAGCCUCUUCAAGCAUGGCCUCUUACUUCUUUUGACCUGAAAAAUACCAAUUUUUCAGUAGAUAAGUUUUAGAUAGUCAAAAGCCUAGGAAAACUUUUAGAAUUUUAGUCUCAGUUUUUCCUCACUUGAAGAUACCUUGUUUUUUUGCACAAUGACCUUGAAAUUCCAGGAUCCUUAAAGAUAUCUGAGAAUCUCAGACUCAUCUGAUUGUCACUGUCUGGCAAGGGGCUGCCCCGCCUAGAUAUGUAAGUGGAAUUAAAUGCCAGAGACAAUAACAUAGAUUAAGAAAACAGUAAAUCAUCUUCCUGUGUCCUUACAGUUUCUUGUCUUUUCCUUUUACUGUAUUUUCUCAAAAACUAUCUUAAUUUUCCUUACCAUCACCUGCCUGCAUCCCUUCACAUCUCCUGAUCCUGGGGAUAUGAAUCUGUAGGGACUUCUCCCUUCCAGAGGCAGUUAACUCUUUCUCCAUGUUAAGUGGCCAGUCACUGCCUUGUGUUUAUUGGUAGUUGCUAGUUGAGGUCUGUUCUUACAUACUUUGAUUUAAAUGGGGGAAAUGGUCCCAGUGUAGUGUGUAGAGCAGGGUACUAGAGACUGUAGGGAACUGACAGAAAGUAGACACAACCCUUAGACUUACCCUUGAAGGACUGCCAUUUAAAAAACAAUGCAAUACUAUGGUAGAUAGGAACAACUUAAAAACCUAGAAUCAAAAUUACAAAAUAGCCAGGAUAAUUCGUAGUCCCUUCCUGCUACUUCAUAGCUUGGGAAAAAUGUGGCAAAAAAAAUACCAUUGACAAGGUAUUUUUUUUUUUUUUUACCUCUCUUGAGUCUCUUUCUUCAUGUGUGAAACAGGGAAAACGUCUACCAUGCAGAGUUGUAGUCAAGAUUAGAGAGAAUGUCUGUAACCUGGCCUAGGCCACUUCUGGCACAUGGUAGAGGCUUGGUAUAGGGUGGUGAUGAUUGUUAUUAGUAUUCUCUUUUAGCAUGUGGGCUAGCUUCGGAAACCCUCAAUGGCCGAGUAAAGGAUGUCCUUUUUUAUCUUCACAACUCUCACGGUGAGAGGCAGUGAGGUCUGGUGGAAAGCUCAGGGUCAAAGUUAAAAGACUAGACUUGAGUCCCGGCACUGCAACUCAUUGCAUGGGUGACUUUGGGCAGGACACGCCACACAUGGGUAUAGUGAAAAUAAUACCCAUCCCACUGAGCUGCUGUAGGGCUCAAAUGAGAUAACAUGCAAGGAGGGAGUGGUUGUCCAUAAAACACUAAUAAAUGUAGGUUAUUAGUACUUCUACAACAGAGUGAAGGUUUCACGUGUCUACGUGACAACAGUGAGGCAGCCUAGAUAUUUGGGACCCACAGGCCAACCAGACAUCACAGUGGUUUAAAUUCAGUUCAGGGCCUUGUUUUCCCCAGAAGAUAUCAAUGAAUUUUUCCUAUCUUGGCUAUCUCCUCAUUAUCUCUCUGCUGGGAGGGAUGGGCGUGAGACAUCAUAAAGUUCUCGCUCUACAAGUGAGCACAUAGGAACUCAGAAAGAAUCCAGGCCAUCCCAGAGCCAGGUGGCCUGGGUUUGAACCUCAGCUCUACCACUUACUAGCUGUGUAAACUUGGGCAAGUUACCUCACCCCCUAGCCUCCAUUUAUUCACUGGCAAUAAUGCCACCUCUCUCAUGGUUAAUGUACAUCAAGGCCCUCUUGGAACACUGUCUGGUACACAGGAAGUGAUCCGAGUAUGUUAGCAAAAAGAAAGCAAGAGAGAGAAGGUGGAGGUGCUAAACUCUGAACAUGGUUGGUUGCUGCAUUUCCUCCAAUAAUAUCAAAUAUUUCUCCUGGUCUCUUCCAUCUGCCAGUUAGUAACAACAUUACGAGUUUCAAUGUUGUAUUUUGGCUGUUUUUCUAGAACAGUGGCACAACAUCAGUUCAUGACGUGGGAGAUUUUGAAACACAUUGUUAUUUGGCUCUUGACUUCUGGGUAGAGUCCAAUUUCUUCUUUCUUUGAGAUAAUAAGAGAUUUACCUGUGCAGUUCUGUCUUUUCAGAGUGCUUCUCCAGGUCCUGCUGCAGGUUCCUCUUGAGCAUCUCUGUGAACUCGAAGAAAUUCUUUUGACAUGAGGGUCUUGGGGAAGGGGGUGCUUAAAAAUCUAUGACUGAAAGGAAGUUUAGAAAGGCCACCAGCUAACUGCCAAGGAGUGACACUAUGCUUGAGAGGAAACCAAAUUCGAUCUCAUUGGCAUAAACAUUGUGACUAACCACAGUGGACGGCCACUCUUUGAGUUAUGGUUGUAGUUAAGCGUUGAUGGAAAAUCAUGGCCCCAGUCUGGAAUAGAUGAGGACUAACAUGGACAAUGAAAAAGCAAACUUGUGUUCUAAAUGCAACAAGAGAAAUAAAAACAGUUCACCAUGUUGUAGUGCUUCACAGUAUACUAAGCAUUUUUAUAUGUUUAAUUCAACAUAAUCUAAUCCUAACUACAACCAAAGAAGGGGAAGAGAGAGUUUCAGAAUAAUUUCUACCUUAUUUCAAAAGACUUUGCUCAGUUACUUUUUACUAUAUAUAGUGGAUAUGAUGUUUUUUGUACAGGACUGUUUAAUGCAGAGAAUUAUAAGCACAGGACAGUUUCUGUGGUGAAAAGCGUGUUUUGUGGUAAGACUGUAUUCAGUGUAUUGCUAUUUUAUGUCAGCAUACACCAGUUGCUGCAGUUCUGUCGUGCACUGCAACAAGGUUAUCUGUCAUCUAGGCUUGUAAGUCUGAUAGAAUCAAGUUACACAUUUAGAAAAGUUUUCUAAAGAAAGCUGAGGUCAUAACUAACCAGUAAUUCUCACAUAGACCUUAUGUUGUUUUAUUGUGUAAGUUUUUGGGAAGUUCCCCUUCUUAGCACCUAUUUGGCAGGUCUAAAAAUAUGCAAUAAAAUGCCCAGAAUUUCACAGACAAGAAUGGAGUGAUAGGAAUGUGCUCAAAUGAGCAAGGUAAGAACGCUGCCCCAGAUUUUCUUCUUGACUUGUUUGUGUCUGUCCCCUGGCCCUUGGUCGGCCCCCCACCCAGCCUACUGGCAGCUCUCUGUGUCCUUCUGGGAAUCUAGGACAGGGCCUUGCUUCUCCGUCUCCUCUUGCUGGGCACAUUCCUGUUGUUCUGCAGUGGGAAUUGUCACUGCCUGUGAACCAAGUAGUCUGCAAAUUGACGACAGCUCACCAAAGAAUCAAAUUGCAGUGUAACUACCCAGACAGAUAAUUUGAUUUUCCCUGGGGAGCCUGAUGGGGCCCCAGAAGUAGCCACCUGGGAUAUAUAUAUUUAGUUGGCACUAACUUCAGCAAUGACUCUUACAGUGUGAAGGCAUGACGUUGUCCCAGAGCCAGCUCCCUGGGUCUGCCCAGGACUCAUCCUGCCUCCUCCCUGCCCUUGUGUUUAGCUCCUAAUCCCAGCCCCCACCCACAGAAUUGUGUCCAGUUUACAAAAUUAAAGAGAACAAGUUUCCUCACGACUUCUCAGCCCCUUGAUUCUUCAGACGUGACUGGUCCAGAUCGAGGCUGCAGUCCCCAAGGAAGGCCAGCUGUCUUGCUCAGCAGAGGCUAUACAGCUAAAAGCUCUUUCUCAUUUUAGGCAAUUCAUGCGCUUGGUUAGACAUUUAUAGAUUUCAAUUGCUCAUCCAAAAAAUCUAGGUCAUUCUUUACAUGGAGCCUCACGGUUCAGAAGGAAAGCCGUGCCUGGGGAGGAACGUCUCUGUUGACUGUUGACGUCUGGUUUGGCCGAGGGAGUGGGGAGUGCUCCUGUAGGAGGAGGGAGAGACAGGCCGACACUGGGUGCUGUGAGCUCUCAGGGGACUUGGCAUUUUCACUGGCCAGCCACCCAUUCACAGACUCUGAGUUCUAGUUGUCCUAGCUAAAUGGUGCCAAUAAAUAGCUGCUUUGUGUUGAUGUCAUAAAAAGUGGUGGGUUUAAGGGUUAGGCUCUCCAGGGCCAUUUUUAGGGUAUGUACCAUAAUUCCAAGGAGAAGGACUAGGUUGGUCUGUCUGGGUGUAUGGCUUCUUGGGGAGGAAAAAGGAGUGGGGUUGUGGGUGACGGGUUUAGCCUUGCAUCAUAGAUGGCCAAAUGGUAGGGCUCUUCCCAGUAUAGUCCCACCUACCUCCUAAUCCCUGAGGGGAAGCACAGGCCAAGGAAAGAGCCCUGGGUUGGGAGCCUAAAGGUCAUUCUUGUGGAUGUGCCUCCCCUCACGGGCUCUGUGACUAUGGCGAGGCAUGUUGCCUUAGUUUCUCCAUCUUUAAAAUUGAGCCCAUGAUCCCUGCUAUUGCAGGGAGGAGUUGCACAACUCAGAUGUUCACAACUUCACAGGUGAAGCCGUAUGUUGGGCCUAAGUGUCAUAAAAACAUAACAUAUUGCUAUCAGGUGUCCUCAGCUAGGGAGAAGAGUGUGGCUCUCCAGCCACUAGCUGGCUUCAGGGUGGCUUUUGUGGGCAUGUGCUUGUUUUGUGCAGGUCUGCGCAAACACGUGUGUACCUGGAUGCCAUGCAACUUGAAAGGCCGGCUCCUCCUUCCUGGUUACCACCCUGACCCCAGCGGGACAGUGAAUAAAGGAUGAAUAGGAAGGAGAGAGGAAGCACAGGCUCUUCUCCUUCACCAAGUGUUUUCUACAUUGACCCUUCAGGGACAGCGUCGAGGGAGGCCUGGUUAGACCAAAUAAUCUCGUCUGGGGUUGGUUAGCCAGGUGUUUCCCUUCUCUGUGUCCCUGGCCUUGGUAUCUCUUAUCAUCACCCCCCAGGGGUUGAGUGGGAGCAGAGAGAAGUGAGCCCGACCAGCCUCUUUCCCAUGUUGGUAAAGCUUUGCUUAAAGGCCUGUUGAAGUUUGAAAUUGCAGGUCGAGGUUAAUUUGAGGCUCAUGUAUUGUCCAUGUCAUGAUGUCCUCCAGUCAUUGCAUAUAAAUAAUCAAAAGCUAAUUGUAACCAAGAUAUUCAGAGCUCUAUACAUUCCUGGACACUGUACUAUGCCAAGAAAUAGAUACCAGUCUAAGUAGACGCACAUCUUCUCAUUAUGUGGCGGGCUCCACACUGUGGCCCCGAGUAUGACAUACCAGGUUGUCUCAGAGGGUACAGGAACAAGACUAGGCUUUAUAAGGAACUUACCUUCCCUUCUCCCAAGUUCUCACACUACAUUAAAAUUUUUAUCCUUGGGUUAGAGGACUAAUCAUUUCAAAAAAUCACUGUUGCAAUGCAGAUAUCUCUGAGGGGAUUCACCCUUGAAGUCCUUCUGUCCUCUAGAGGAAUUUGUUGAUCUGCAUGAACUGUGCAGUCAGUCACCAGGGAAGGCCCGGAAGGCAUGAGGGGAGGCGCGAAACAGGUUCAGGAGCACCUGGGAAGCAAGGAGACCAAGAGGGAGGAAGUACAAAAGGAAGCCCAGCGAGCACCAGCCCUCCUGAUGAGGGCGCAGCUCCUGGGUGUGCAUGUUGGAGGUGGCCUGUCCCUGUCCUGGGAGCUGACUGUGAGCAUCUCUUCCCAGCUCCACCUUCAGUGACUUCAUGUUGCUAGCUUGAAAUUGAUCAUAGUGGAAGUACUUAUACCACAGAAAUAUGCAAACACUACAAACCAGGGCUCCUCUCGCCCCCCCUUCCCCCAGGAGAGCUUUUUGUUAAACUCCUACAAGCAGACUACUGUUGGCAAUCAUACUGAUUCUCAAACUUGCCCUGAAAGUGGGACCUUAGCAAAUCACUUGUGUUCUCCUAAUUGUUCUCCUCCCCCUAGUCUUGAGAGGCUGGGGCCAAAAAAAAAA